rnacentral:rRNA from 1 species
AACGAACGCUGGCGGCAUGCCUAACACAUGCAAGUCGAACGAGACCUUCGGGUCUAGUGGCGCACGGGUGCGUAACGCGUGGGAACCUGCCCUUAGGUUCGGAAUAACUCCCCGAAAGGGGUGCUAAUACCGGAUAAUGUCUUCGGACCAAAAAUUUAUCGCCUUUGGAUGGGCCCGCGUUGGAUUAGCUAGUUGGUAGGGUAAAAGCCUACCAAGGCGACGAUCCAUAGCUGGUCUGAGAGGAUGAUCAGCCACACUGGGACUGAGACACGGCCCAGACUCCUACGGGAGGCAGCAGUGGGGAAUAUUGGACAAUGGGCGAAAGCCUGAUCCAGCAAUGCCGCGUGAGUGAUGAAGGCCUUAGGGUUGUAAAGCUCGUUUACCCGGGAGGAUAAUGACAGUACCGGGAGAAUAAGCUCCGGCUAACUCCGUG